CACCAUUUGCAAAAGUGCUAGCGAGCACGGUACAAAUGUGACAAAUUUAACGCCGAUUUUUCAUUCAUUCAGAAAAGAAGAACUAAUUAUUGGAUGUUCUAACACAUAUUCAGUGUAAUUGACAGUGAUUUAACACAUUUAUAUAAAUAUUUUUUGAUUAACUGUAUCGGAAAAUAGGUCCGUAAAAGUUGUGUCAAAAAGAGCGUGUCCUUUGUUUGGACUGAAAAGUGUUUAUGGAGUGUGUUUGCCUAAUUGAAUGGUAGAAAAAUGAACUGAAUAUAGAACAUAUAUUUGGUAGCUGAUGUUGCACUAUGCCGACAACAUGCGGAUUUCCUAAUUGCAAAUUCCGUUCUCGCUACCGUGGAUCCGAAGACAAUCGCCAUUUUUACCGUGUCCCAAAGAAACCUGCAAUUUUAAGAGAGAAGUGGUUAAUCGCAAUUGGACGCACAGAAGAAACUAUAGUUAAUCAGGUUUACUCCCCCAUCGUGCUGUUGUAAAAAGCGCUGUUACUCCCACCGAACUACAGAUCAUUAAAAAGAUUUGACACCAUAUAAGCUACGCGUCUGUAGUGGACAUUUUCACGGAGGUGAAAAGAAAGAGGGGGAAAUUCCGGUUGCAGAUCCCGAAGUUGAUCCUCAGAAGAAAAUAGAGCUACCUCCACAGUUGCCAAAACACGCUGAAAGACGAAGAAAUAAUUGUCUUCGAAGAAAACUGCCUCAGAUUAUACCAGAAAAUAACAAUUACAAAGAAACUAUACUGCCACCAAAAAUGGCUAACAGACCAAUGCCCAAUGGUCCAGCACACCCACGCCCCCUUGUGGCGUUAUUAGAUGGACGAGAUUGUUCAGUAGAAAUGCCGAUAUUAAAAGAUGUCGCCACAGUCGCCUUUUGCGAUGCGCAAUCUACUACAGAAAUUCAUGAGAAAGUGUUGAACGAAGCAGUAGGGGCCAUGUUGUACCAUCAUAUCACACUAGCCCGGGAAGACCUUAAGAAGUUUAAAAAUCUACGUGUCGUUGUUCGACUCGGGACGGGGGUGGAUAACAUUGACAUAAAGGCAGCUGGGGAGCUAGGUGUUGCUGUGUGUAAUAUUCCGGGUUAUGGUGUGGAAGAAGUUGCCGAUUCUACCCUCUGCCUCAUUCUGAACUUAUACCGUCGUACCUACUGGCUCGCAAACCUCGUGAAGGAGGGCAAAAAAAUAUGUGGCCCAGAGCAGCUACGGGAAGCUGCGCAAGGUUCAGCCCGUAUCCGUGGUGACACAUUAGGCAUUGUGGGUCUCGGUCGUGUUGGAACAGCUGUUGCCCUAAGAGCGAAGGUAUUUGGGUUUAAUGUGAUAUUCUACGACCCCUACUUGCAGGACGGCAUUGAAAAAUCACUAGGUAUUACGCGGGUGUACACUCUCCAGGACCUGUUGUUCCAGAGCGACUGUGUUUCCCUCCACUGUAAUCUAAAUGAACACAAUCACCACCUCAUAAACGACUAUACCAUCAAACAAAUGAGACCAGGAGCCUUUCUUAUUAACACAGCCCGUGGGGGUCUAGUGGAUGAACAGGCAUUAGCCUCUGCCCUCAAAGAUGGCCGCAUCAGGGCAGCUGCUUGUGACGUCCAUGAAAACGAGCCAUUUAGUUUUGCAAAUAGCCCAUUAAAAGAUUGUCCUAACCUCAUCUGUACACCUCACAGUAGUUUCUAUAGUGACCAGAGUAUAACGGAACUCCGGGAAAUGGCCGCAGGGGAAGUACGACGUGCAAUUGUUGGCCGUAUGCCAGAGAGCUUACGCAACUGUGUCAAUAAAGAAUAUCUGACGGGUACCGCGGUGAAAGGUAACAACAGAUAUGACAGUAUGAAUGGGGCACCCCCUGGAUAUAACUACAACCCGAUUCCCGGUGUACACUCCACGACGGAUGCCCACCCGCCACUCUCCGUUCAUUCUACAGCCCCCCACAGCACGCUUCCGGAGUCUACCCCCAAUAACCACUUGCCAAUGCCUAAGGCAGAACAAAGUUCUGAAGUUCACUAGCCUCAUUCUGAGUGGUGGCCAUCUUGGAUUCAGCCAUCUUGGAUUUCUCAGAUAAACUGGUUAUUAUAUUAUCUAGUGGGGGUGGUUCCAGUGAAAGGAACAGCCAUGUACAAAGGCAGUGCAUUGCAAACAGGAUCAGGAAACAGAUAUAUAAACAAACAGUUUAAAAGCUAAGACAGUAAACAGUGAAAGCAACAGACAUAAAUCGAGAAAACGGGGCGCAAGAAAGGAUUGAAGCCAUGUAGAACUUGUGCUCAGUACAUGUAGAUUAGAAGAGGUAUACCCAACAGCCCUUUUGAAAAAUCUCAUGGAGGUUUUGGAAUUCCUUCAUUUUCUCCAAUACUAGAAGAUAUGAUUGCUUCUGCACACUUAUUUUAUAGAAUGCCAAACCUUUUCACUCUUCUGUAUAGUGAUGCAUCUAUUUCAGUUGCUUUCUUGUAAGGGAAUAUGAGACAACCAUGAGAUUUUUGUAAGGGAGAUGAUAUUGUAUUUGCAACUACAACAUGAUGUAAGUUAUAUAAUGUAGAUUUUGAUAUGGACAUUAUACACAAAGUAAUAUUCAAUUUGCCAGACAUGUGACGUUAUACAUGUUUCUCUGUUAAUUUUUUCACUUCUAAUUCUGUUCACUCAAUGUUCAUUUCUUUAACAUGCAUGUCUGUGUGGGAUUCAUUUUGGAGGUGAUUUUUAAAAAAUUCAGAAAAUAAAUGUUCUUCAUCAAAUCGUGAAUAUUUUGCCGAACGUUUGUGUAUUUUGUGCAUUGUGUUUUCACAGUUUUAAAAAUGAUGGAGAUAACCUUCCAAUGUCUCAGUCAUGCAGUUGUAACGCUGUAAUUAUUUCCCAUUUUCAUAUCAGUGAAAGAAAUUCUGCUAUUUAAAAACUUCACACGAAAAAGUGUUUAGUUUUCCAUGUUAUUAAAUGAUGAGUUACUUUUCAUACUAAGCACCUAACGUACAUAGAACUCUGUAAAUGUACAUUGAUAAUAAUCAUUAGCAUUUUCACUAUUAACUAGUAUGAUUUCAUUCAGCCAAACAUUUUGAUAUUAGUUUAAGGUAGAAACACCAAAGAUAGUAGGCUAUAAUAAACAAAGAUAGUAGUUAAAUAAAAACAAAUGUCUAGCUGAUCAAACCAUCUGCGGACAACAGAAACUGCAUUAUUUGUUUGUGUAUGGUCUUAUGCAGCAUUUGGUUUUGCGGGAGGUUUGAUCGGCUUGAUUUUGUAUGUGUAUUUUUCUAAACAACGGGUGAUUGGUUAUAGAAUUGUCUAUUGAAACAUUAAUUUUUUGCAUUCGUUAUCUGGAUAUGUUUAAUGUGAAUUUCAUGGUAACUUUUUUGAAAUUCAAUGGUAAUUACUUAAUAUAUCACU
rnacentral:misc_RNA from 1 species